UACGAAGGGUGCAAACGUUGCUCGGAAUUAUUGGGCGUAAAGCGCACGUAGGCGGCGCUGCAAGUCCCAUGUGAAAUCCCACGGCUCAACCGUGGAAGUGCAUGGGAAACUGCAGUGCUUGAGUACUUAAGAGGAUCGCGGAAUUCCCGGUGUAGAGGUGAAAUUCGUAGAUAUCGGGAGGAACACCAGUGGCGAAGGCGGCGAUCUGGGAAGAUACUGACGCUGAGGCACGAAAGCGUGGGGAGCAAACAGG
rnacentral:rRNA from 1 species